CCACCUGGCUCAGGUGAGGUGUCUCAGCUCGUAUCUGAUGUGCAGUUGUCACAUACACUACUGACUCUUCUGUUUUUCAAAUCUGAAGCACCUGCAAGUCUGUAAUUGUGUAAGUUAUGUUAACAGCAGUCACUAGAAUAAUAAGUGCAUGUUUCCUUUUUUCUUAUUUGCUAAGGAAUGAAUGAAACAGAACACUUCUGCAGUGGGAUGUGAAGUCACGUAUUUCUGUGUUUACAGGCAGGAUUAGUUUCCUGAGGCUGCUGUGACAAAUUACCACAGUUACUUCCCCUGGGCAGUAGAGGUUCCUAGAUAUGGGGAAGCAGCUCUCCUGAACAGGUCCAAGUGUCUAUGCAGGUGAGAGGAGUCCAGCCAGGUCUGAGCCUGGGCCCACAGCCCCUUUGGGGUCUGCUAUAAACUUUUGUGGUAAGCACGUAGAUUUCUUCCCUCUCCAGUAGCGCAGCACUUUCUAUUUUCAGGGGCUAGAUAUAUAUAUAUAUUUGAUGCAGGACAAGUUCCCAGCCUGAAACACGUGUGCGCACGGGUUCAGGGCCCUUGACCCGCAGUCACAGCCCCCUCAUUGGGCAAAGGCAGAUGCUCAUGAGGCUGUAUGGCAGGGUGAGAAGAGGUGAAUGAGGUGUGGACAGAGAGGUCAUCUUCAAGCCAGGAGAGAGCCUUCACAAGGGACCAAAUCAACCAGCACCUUGAUCUGGAUUUCCAGCCUCCAGAGCUGUGAGAAAAUAAAUUUCUGUUGUUUAAGGA